AAGAGUGGCAAGAAGUUCUGGAACCUGUUCCACCUGCAGCCUAUGCGUGAUCAGAAGGGAGAAGUACAGUAUUUUAUUGGAGUACAACUAGAUGGUAGCGAGCAUGUUGAGCCUCGCACCAACCGUAUUGCAGAGCAAACUGCACAAGAGAGUGAAAAUUUGGUGAAACAAACUGCAGAAAAUGUUGAUGAAGCAGUGAGAGAACUUCCAGAUGCCAAUUUGAAACCAGAAGAUUUGUGGGCAAACCAUUCAAAGGUUGUUAUUCCAAAGCCUCAUAGGAAGGAUACCCCCUCUUGGAAAGCAAUUCAAACGAUCUUAGACAAUGGAGAACAAAUAGGACUGAAACAUUUUAGGCCAAUAAAACCCUUGGGUUCUGGUGACACUGGCAGUGUGCAUUUGGUAGAAUUGUGUGGAACUGGUCAGUUUUUUGCCAUGAAAGCUAUGGAUAAGAAUGUUAUGCUCAACCGCAAUAAGGUGCAUAGAGCUUGUGCAGAGAGAGAAAUUCUUGAUAUGUUGGAUCACCCUUUCCUGCCUGCAUUAUAUGCUUCAUUUCAGACCAAAACACAUAUUUGUCUGAUAACUGAUUACU
rnacentral:misc_RNA from 1 species